rnacentral:rRNA from 1 species
AGUGAACGCUGGCGGUAGGCCUAACACAUGCAAGUCGAACGGCAGCACAGUAAGAGCUUGCUCUUACGGGUGGCGAGUGGCGGACGGGUGAGGAAUACAUCGGAAUCUACUUUUUCGUGGGGGAUAACGUAGGGAAACUUACGCUAAUACCGCAUACGACCUACGGGUGAAAGCAGGGGAUCUUCGGACCUUGCGCGAUUGAAUGAGCCGAGGUCGGAUUAGCUAGUUGGCGGGGUAAAGGCCCACCAAGGCGACGAUCCGUAGCUGGUCUGAGAGGAUGAUCAGCCACACGGGAACUGAGACGCGGUCCAGACUCCUACGGGAGGCAGCAGUGGGGAAUAUUGGACAAUGGGCGCAAGCCUGAUCCAGCCAUACCGCGUGGGUGAAGAAGGACUUCGGGUUGUAAAGCCCUUUUGUUGGGAAAGAAAAGCAGCAGGUUAAUACCCCGCUGUUCUGACGGUACCCAAAGAAUAAGCACCGGCUAACUUCGUG